AGUGGUGAAGGUGUUUUGUUGGUUAGUAACUGACAGUGAGGUAAGAAAGCGUGCGAGCAAACAGGAUUAGCUAUCUUGGUCGUCCACGUAGUAAAUGAUGAGUACUAAGUGAAAGAGGGUUUCCGUCUUUUAGUGCUGAAGUUACCGCAUUAAGCACUCCGCCUGGGGAGUACGGCCGCAAGGCUGAAACUCAAAGGAAUUGACGGGGGCCCGCACAAGCGGUGGAGCAUGUGGUUUAAUUCGAAGCAACGCGAAGAACCUUACCAGGUCUUGACAUCCUUUGACAACCCUAGAGAUAGGGCUUCUCCUUCGGGAGCAGAGUGACAGGUGGUGCAUGGUUGUCGUCAGCUCGUGUCGUGAGAUGUUGGGUUAAGUCCCGCAACGAGCGCAACCCUUGAUCUUAGUUGCCAUCAUUUAGUUGGGCACUUUAAGGUGACUGCCGGUGACAAACCGGAGGAAGGUGGGGAUGACGUCAAAUCAUCAUGCCCCUUAUGACCUGGGCUACACACGUGCUACAAUGGACGGUACAAAGAGCUGCAAGACCGCGAGGUGGAGCUAAUCUCAUAAAACCGUUCUCAGUUCGGAUUGUAGGCUGCAACUCGCCUACAUGAAGCUGGAAUCGCUAGUAAUCGCGGAUCAGCAUGCCGCGGUGA
rnacentral:rRNA from 2 species